AAUUUUUAGCUCACCUGGCCCAAAGGGCCAAGUGAGCUUUUCUCAUCACUUGGCGUCCGGCGUCCGUCGUCGUCGUCGUCCUGCGUCCGGCGUUAACUUUUACAAAAAUCUUCUCCUCUGAAACUACUAGGCCAAAUUUAACCAAACUUGGCCACAAUCAUCAUUGGGGUAUCUAGUUUAAAAAUUGUGUCCGGUGACCCCGCAACUAACCAAGAUGGCCGCCAUGCUAUAAAUAGAACAUAGGGGUAAAAUGCAGUUUUUGGCUUAUAACUCAAAAACCAAAGCAUUUAGGGCAAAUCUGACAUGGGGUAAUAUUGUUAACCAGGUUAAGAUCUAUCUGCCCUGAAAUUUUCAGAUGAAUCUGACAUUCCGUUGUUAGGUUGCUGCCCCUGAAUUGGUAAUUUUAAGGAAAUUUUGUUGUUUUUGGUUAUUAUCUUGAAUAUUAUUUUAGAUAGAGAUAAACUGUAAAAAGCAAUAAUGUUCAGCAAAGUAAGAUCUACAAAAAAGUCAACAUGACCAAAAUGAUCAGUUGACCACUUUAGGAGUUAUUGCCCUUUAUAGUCAAUUUUUAACCAUUUUUCGUAAAUCUUAGUAAUCUUUUAGAAAAAUCUUCUCCC
rnacentral:lncRNA from 1 species